GGGCCCGUAGCUCAGCAUGGACAGAGAAGAUAUUAUCUGGUUAAUAUCUCUGCAGCGUCGGCCUGCGGAGCCGGAGGCCGUGGGUUCAAGUCCCACCGGGCCCG
rnacentral:tRNA from 1 species